rnacentral:lncRNA from 1 species
AUGGGGAAGUCUCCUGGGCCUCGCCCCCGAGCACCCCACGGGCUCGGGGGUUCCUGCGCCCCGCGGCUUCAAGACGUCUGUGUUUGCAGUGAGCCCCAGGACUGGCAGGGCGUGUGCAUCCGGGCUCGUGGCCCCUACUCCCAAUGCUCAGCCUCGGAGGCGCAAAAGCUCGAAGGUCUGGUCAGUGCGGACCCCAGGCCUACAGGGCCUAGGUCGGGAACCCAGUCUCCCUGCAUCCCCAGCCUCCCUCUCUGCAGCCACGCAAGCCCUCGGCGAAGCCGUCCGGAGAGUUACCGCGGAGGCCCAGGCGAGAAGACUAAAGAGGCUGCGGGACUCCGUGGCCGGGGCGGCUGCUCUCCGCCCGCCCGCGCCGCUCGCUCCAGCUGCUGCCUUUCCCGCGGCACGUCGCAACGGGUCCCCGGGCCCGCGUGCGGUUGGCGGAAGCCGGAGGAAGAUGGCCCGGGCGCGAGUCCUCCCCGGAGACCUGCUGGGGGCCGCUGCAGUCUGAGGAGCCCGCGCCCCCGCGCCGCGCGCCGCGCCCGCGGCCGCCCGAGUUCGCCCAGAAAGGUGCAGUGCAGAGCGAGGCUGCGGGGAGCACCAUGCCCCAGGGCGGCGAGGCAGGAGUGCGGCCGAGCCCCUACCUUUCUCGCGGGGCGGACACCAGACCCACGCCCUAGCCGAGUGUCCCGGACAGGAAAAUUACCGCGAAGGGAGGGCCGAGGAAAGACGGCGGGUGACUUCAGGACAAGGGAGCUGUGUAAGAUGCACACACCUUUGGUUAUUACCAUCAGCAGCCACAAGAACAAAGUAAGUUAUAAUGCACAUCCUUCAUGAGUAUCUACCAUACAUACAUUACAAAGUACGAUGGGCACAUUAUGUACAAGUUAUGCACCAGAUAACAAUGUUUUAGUCAGCAAUGGACUACAUAUACCAUAAAAUUAUAAUUGAGCUGAAAAAUCCCUACUGCUUUCUGAUAUUGUAACCCUUGGAACAUCACACUAUUGUAGAUAGCUAAGCUAAUUAGAAAAUAUUAUAAGCCAGUUAGGCAAGGCCAGGCUCUCAGCACAGAAGAUAAUUGAGGCACAUUUACUCAAAAAAGAACUACUGCACCCACAUACUUUUCCUACGGGUGAAUAGCAGUGAUUGAUAGUCUAAAUGGUAUCAAUCACCAGGGUGGGGGACUAACCCACCCCCAAGCCCAUUUCCUUUGUAGAAAAUCCUUAUUCAUUCUAUGUAUACGUGCUACAUGACUUGCUUCCUCAUUUGUUUGAUGAUAGCUUUGCCCUACCUCAUAUUCACCUUGUGAUUUCCCAUUGGAUCUUAAUAGUUAACUGUAGUUUUGUCCCACCUUGAGCCCACCUUACCUCAUGGAUUUGCUCAAAACACCUUUGAGAAAUGGGGUUAGUGGGCUACUCACUUUCUGAGUGUCCCCUCCUGCCCCUCAGGCAGGAGCCAUCUUUCCCUCAAUAAAUAUUCACUACUCUUAAACUCCAUUUGUUCCUAGAAUUCAUUCUUUGAUUUUAGAGAACAUAAACUCAGCAUUUUGGAUAUCUAGCAAGUUGGGAGUUAUAUUUCCCUUACAUUAUCUGGAUUAUUUGAAUAUCCUAUAUCGUAUGCCUUAUAUCAGUAGCACUAUACAUCACCCAUGAAUUUGUAGUGAUGCUGGUAUAAACAAACCUACUUCACUGUAAGUCAAAUAAAAUUGUAGCUCAUACAGUUAUGUACAUAAUAGUACUUGAUAAUAAAUGGCUGUUACUGACUUAUAUAGUUACUAUGCUAUAUGUUUUAUCAUUAUUUGAAAGUGUACUUCUACUUAUAAAACAACAAAUUAACUGUGGAACAGCCUGAAGUAGGUCUUUUGGGAGAUAUUCUACAAGAAAGGAGGGUUAUCAUAGGCGAGCACAGGUCGUGCAUGCUUUUGCCCCUCAGCAUCUCCCUGUGGGACAAGAUAUGGAGGAGGAGGACUGUGAUGAUAAUCAUGAUCCUGACCCUGAGAAGGUCUAGGGUAAUAUGUGUGUUUGUGUCUUGGUUUUUAAAGUUUAAGUUUAAAAAGUAAAAAAUAAAAUCUAAGAAUAGGAAGAUACAGGUUUUAAUUUAAAGAGAAUGUAAUGUUAUAAAUGUGUAAAUGAUCUAGAUUAUGUUUAGAUAAUUAUGAGUGGAAAGUUGACUACCAGUGAAAGCAAACUGCAAAGAUCAUAGUUUAACCCACAUAUGAACUUUUCUAGCUGUUUUAGGUUUUGUGUAUUUUGGUUUAAUUAACAAAUACUGGAAUUAGGUAGAAUUUUUUUCUUAUUAAAUCUUUUAAAUAAAACAUUUAAAGGUUAAUGUGCCACUUUCUAUGUAUGUGUACAUAUAUAAAUAGAAAUAGAUGUCCCUGUCUGCAGUGUAGCAUGUUCAUCUUGCAUCCCAAUUUUUUCAAGAAUCUUGGCAGGAGGAAUGUCAUAUGUGCAUUGAGUAAGUGAAUCAGCUGGUUCUGAUGUUCAUAAGAUGAAAUCCACUUCUCCUAACUGCUGAUUCAAUUUGACAGUUUAUGUCAUAGAUUCUGAUUUAGUUGGGGUACCACCCUUUGUCCUAAUGUUAGAAAAACUUGGAGAAAAAUAUUGUUAUAUUCUGUAUCAAAUGUUUUAAUCCAAAACCUGGACAGAUAAAAGAGAUUGGCAUCUGUGUCUUCCUUUUUAUUUAUUUCUUUUAAUAUUCUAUUUAUGUGCCAGCCCUACCACUUUACACAUCAGUAAAAGGCUUUUCAGAAUAUAUACAUAUAUAUAUUCUAUCUAUAUAUUCUAUACAUAUAUUCUAAAUAUAUCUACAUAAAUAUAUAGAUCUAAAAGUAUAUAUCUAUAUCUAUGUAAAUAUAUAGAACUAAAAAAAAUCUAAAUAUAUCAUAUCUAAAUAUGUCUAAAUAUAGUAUCUAAAAAAUAUCUAAAUAUAUAUAUCUAAAAUAUAUCUAAAUAUGUAUCUAUAGAAUAUAUAGAAUAUAUUCUCUAUAUAAAU